rnacentral:rRNA from 1 species
AACGAGAAAGUGGAGCAAUCCAUGAGUAAAGUGGCGACCGGGUGAGUAACACGUGACUAACCUACCUUCGAGUGGGGGAUAACCUAGGGAAACCUGGGCUAAUACCGCAUAACAUCUUUGGAGUGGAAAUUCUGGAGAUCAAAAGAGCAAUUUGCUUGAAGAGGGGGUCGCGGCUGAUUAGCUAGUUGGCGGGGUAAUGGCCCACCAAGGCUUUGAUCGGUAGCCGGCCUGAGAGGGCGCACGGCCACACUGGAACUGAAACACGGUCCAGACUCCUACGGGAGGCAGCAGUGGGGAAUUUUGCGCAAUGGGGGAAACCCUGACGCAGCAACGCCGCGUGGAGGAUGAAGUCCCUUGGGACGUAAACUCCUUUCGACCGGGACGAUUAUGACGGUACCGGUGGAAGAAGCCCCGGCUAACUUCGUGCCAGCAGCCGCGGUAAUACGAGGGGGGCAAGCGUUGUUCGGAAUUAUUGGGCGUAAAGGGCGCGUAGGCGGUGCGGUAAGUCACCUGUGAAAUCUCCGGGCUUAACUCGGAGUCUGCAGGCGAAACUGCCGUGCUGGAGUAUGGGAGAGGUGCGUGGAAUUCCCGGUGUAGCGGUGAAAUGCGUAGAUAUC